AUGGCUCAGAUUGAACGCUGGCGGCAGGCCUAACACAUGCAAGUCGAACGGUAACAGGAAGAAGCUUGCUUCUUUGCUGACGAGUGGCGGACGGGUGAGUAAUGUCUGGGAAACUGCCCGAUGGAGGGGGAUAACUACUGGAAACGGUAGCUAAUACCGCAUAACGUCGCAAGACCAAAGAGGGGGACCUUCGGGCCUCUUGCCAUCGGAUGUGCCCAGAUGGGAUUAGCUUGUUGGUGAGGUAACGGCUCACCAAGGCGACGAUCCCUAGCUGGUCUGAGAGGAUGACCAGCCACACUGGAACUGAGACACGGUCCAGACUCCUACGGGAGGCAGCAGUGGGGAAUAUUGCACAAUGGGCGCAAGCCUGAUGCAGCCAUGCCGCGUGUAUGAAGAAGGCCUUCGGGUUGUAAAGUACUUUCAGCGGGGAGGAAGGGAGUAAAGUUAAUACCUUUGCUCAUUGACGUUACCCGCAGAAGAAGCACCGGCUAACUCCGUGCCAGCAGCCGCGGUAAUACGGAGGGUGCAAGCGUUAAUCGGAAUUACUGGGC
rnacentral:rRNA from 1 species